rnacentral:rRNA from 1 species
AUUGAACGCUGGCGGCAGGCCUAACACAUGCAAGUCGAACGCGUGGCGGACGGGUGAGUAAUGUCUGGGACACUGCCUUAUGGAGGGGGAUAACUACUGGAAACGGUAGCUAAUACCGCAUACCAUCAGAUGUGCCCAGGUGGGAUUAGCUAGUUGGUGGGGUAAAGGCUCACCAAGGCGACGAUCCCUAGCUGGUCUGAGAGGAUGACCAGCCACACUGGAACUGAGACACGGUCCAGACUCCUACGGGAGGCAGCAGUGGGGAAUAUUGCGCAAUGGGCGCAAGCCUGACGCAGCCACGCCGCGUGUAUGAAGAAGGCCUUCGGGUUGUAAAGUACUUUCAGCGGGGAGGCGUUACCCGCAGAAGAAGCACCGGCUAACUCCGUGCCAGCAGCCGCGGUAAUUC